UACGGAGGGUGCAAGCGUUAUCCGGAUUCACUGGGUUUAAAGGGCGCGUAGGUGGGCAGGUAAGUCAGUGGUGAAAUCUCCGGGCUUAACUCGGAAACUGCCAUUGAUACUAUCUGUCUUGAAUACCGUGGAGGUCAGCGGAAUAUGUCAUGUAGCGGUGAAAUGCUUAGAUAUGACAUAGAACACCAAUUGCGAAGGCAGCUGGCUAGACGAAUAUUGACACUGAUGCACGAAAGCGUGGGGAUCAAACAGG
rnacentral:rRNA from 1 species